CCUACGGGUGGCAGCAGUGAGGAAUAUUGGUCAAUGGGCGCGAGCCUGAACCAGCCAAGUAGCGUGAAGGAUGACUGCCCUACGGGUUGUAAACUUCUUUUAUAAAAGAAUAAAGUCAGGCACGUGUGCCUUUUUGUAUGUACUUUAUGAAUAAGGAUCGGCUAACUCCGUGCCAGCAGCCGCGGUAAUACGGAGGAUCCGAGCGUUAUCCGGAUUUAUUGGGUUUAAAGGGAGCGUAGAUGGGUUGUUAAGUCAGUGGUGAAAGUUUGCGGCUCAACCGUAAAAUUGCCAUUGAUACUGGCAGGCUAGAGAACAGUUGAGGUAGGCGGAAUUCGUGGUGUAGCGGUGAAAUGCUUAGAGAUCACACAGAACUCCGAUUGCGAAGGCAGCUUACUAAGCUGCUACUGACAUUGAGGCUCGAAAGUGUGGGUAUCAAACAGGAUUAGAUACCAGUGUAGUC
rnacentral:rRNA from 1 species